rnacentral:rRNA from 1 species
UACAGAGGUGGCAAGCGUUGUUCGGAUUUAUUGGGCGUAAAGGGUCCGUAGGCGGUUUGGAAAGUCAGAUGUGAAAUCCCACAGCUCAACUGUGGAACUGCAUUUGAAACUUCCAGACUAGAGUGUGAGAGGGGUUAAGGGAAUUCCCGGUGUAAGGGUGAAAUCUGCAGAGAUCGGGAGGAACACCAGUCGCGAAGGCGCUUAACUGGCUCACAACUGACGCUCAGGGACGAAAGCAUGGGGAGCAAAAGGG